rnacentral:rRNA from 1 species
UACGAAGGGGGCUAGCGUUGUUCGGAUUUACUGGGCGUAAAGGGCGCGUAGGCGGCGCACCAAGUCAGGCGUGAAAGCCCUGGGCUCAACCCGGGAAUUGCGCUUGAGACUGGUGUGCUCGAGUACGGGAGAGGAUAGUGGAAUUCCCAGUGUAGAGGUGAAAUUCGUAGAUAUUGGGAAGAACACCGGUGGCGAAGGCGGCUAUCUGGACCGUAACUGACGCUGAGGCGCGAAAGCGUGGGGAGCAAACAGG